rnacentral:rRNA from 1 species
GCAAGGUUAACCGCAUAGGGGAGCCGGAGGGAAACCGAGUCUUAAUUGGGCGUUAAGUUGCAGGGUAUAGACCCGAAACCCGGUGAUCUAGCCAUGGGCAGGUUGAAGGUUGGGUAACACUAACUGGAGGACCGAACCGACUAAUGUUGAAAAAUUAGCGGAUGACCUGUGGCUGGGGGUGAAAGGCCAAUCAAACCGGGAGAUAGCUGGUUCUCCCCGAAAGCUAUUUAGGUAGCGCCUCGUGAAUUCAUCUCCGGGGGUAGAGCACUGUUUCGGCUAGGGGGCCAUCCCGGCUUACCAACCCGAUGCAAACUGCGAAUACCGGAGAAUGUUAUCACGGGAGACACACGGCGGGUGCUAACGUCCGUCGUGAAGAGGGAAACAACCCAGACCGCCAGCUAAGGUCCCAAAGUCAUGGUUAAGUGGGAAACGAUGUGGGAAGGCCCAGACAGCCAGGAUGUUGGCUUAGAAGCAGCCAUCAUUUAAAGAAAGCGUAAUAGCUCACUGGUCGAGUCGGCCUGCGCGGAAGAUGUAACGGGGCUAAACCAUGCACCGAAGCUGCGGCAGCGACACUGUGUGUUGUUGGGUAGGGGAGCGUUCUGUAAGCCUGCGAAGGUGUGUCGUGAGGCAUGCUGGAGGU